rnacentral:rRNA from 1 species
GUCAGCUCGUGUCGUGAGAUGUUGGGUUAAGUCCGCACGAGCGCACCUUAUCUUUAAUUGCCAGCAUUCAGUUGGGCACUUUAAAGAGACUGCCGGUGUUAAACCGGAGGAAGGUGGGGAUGACGUCAAGUCCUCAUGGCCUUUAUGCUUAGGGCUACACACGUGCUACAAUGGGUGGUACAAAGAGAAGCCAACUCGCGAGAGCGCGCCAAUCUCAAAAAGCCAUCCUCAGUUCGGAUUGGAGUCUGCAACUCGACUCCAUGAAGUUGGAAUCGCUAGUAAUCGCGGAUCAGCAUGCCGCGGUGAAUACGUUCCCGGGCCUU